rnacentral:rRNA from 1 species
UACGAAGGGUGCAAGCGUUACUCGGAAUUACUGGGCGUAAAGCGUGCGUAGGUGGUGAGUUAAGUCUGUCGUGAAAGCCCCGGGCUCAACCUGGGAAUGGCGAUGGAUACUGGCUCGCUAGAGUGCGGUAGAGGAGAGUGGAAUUCCCGGUGUAGCAGUGAAAUGCGUAGAUAUUGGGAGGAACACCAGUGGCGAAGGCGGCUCACUGGACCGGUACUGACGCUGAUGCGCGAAAGCGUGGGGAGCAAACAGG